rnacentral:rRNA from 1 species
AGAAUGACUCUCGGCAACGGAUAUCUAGGCUCUUGCAUCGAUGAAGAACGUAGCGAAAUGCGAUACUUGGUGUGAAUUGCAGAAUCCCGUGAACCAUCGAGUCUUUGAACGCAAGUUGCGCCCGAUGCCAUUAGGUUGAGGGCACGUCUGCCUGGGUGUCACAA